AUCGAUCCGGCAGGGCAGAGUCCAGCCGUGGGGCUGCUGCUGGGUUACCUGGUGCACGGCAAGAAGCAGCAGCUCCGGGUGGUGGCACAGCGGGGCACGGCGUCGCCGGUGGGUGUUGCUGAGUGCUGUGAGGCUCCCCCAGGUUGCCCUGAGAACCACAGAGUGGGGGUGGAUGUGGCUGUGGGAGGGCCAACCCCUGCAGCACAUCUGUUCUGAGCUUCCACUGGGGCUGAUGUUUGGGUGCAGACCCCAAGCAUCCCUUCACCUUAAUCCUAUGGGAGCUGCAGAAAGCAGGGCUUGGCAGCCGGCAUCACAGCAAGGAGCCGAGGCACCGCGACACCCUGGGACGAGGAUGGGACGGGGCUGCCAUCCCGGAUGGAGCAGAUGGGAGCUCUCACCCCACGCCGCACUCAGGCUCACAGCCAGGAGAUGUUGGACUCUGCUGUAUUCAAGGGAGGCGCAGCCCGCGCCCCUCGCUGCCUCCGUGCCUGAUGGUGACACCGGGAGCCAGCCGGACGGUGCCCAGUAAGGAGUCCAGCACCGGAGAUCGGGAGC